rnacentral:rRNA from 1 species
GAUGAACGCUGGCGGCGUGCCUAAUACAUGCAAGUCGAGCGAACAGACGAGGAGCUUGCUCCUCUGACGUUAGCGGCGGACGGGUGAGUAACACGUGGAUGACCUACCUAUAAGACUGGGAUAACUUCGGGAAACCGGAGCUAAUACCGGAUAAUAUAUUGAACCGCAUGGUUCAAUAGUGAAAGACGGUUUUGCUGUCACUUAUAGAUGGAUCCGCGCCGCAUUAGCUAGUUGGUAAGGUAACGGCUUACCAAGGCAACGAUGCGUAGCCGACCUGAGAGGGUGAUCGGCCACACUGGAACUGAGACACGGUCCAGACUCCUACGGGAGGCAGCAGUAGGGAAUCUUCCGCAAUGGGCGAAAGCCUGACGGAGCAACGCCGCGUGAAUGAUGAAGGUCUUCGGAUCGUAAAACUCUGUUAUUAGGGAAGAACAAAUGUGUAAGUAACUAUGCACGUCUUGACGGUACCUAAUCAGAAAGCCACGGCUAACUACGUG